GGCUGUGGCAAAGGUGGAUCUGUUAAUAAGAUAAGUAAAAGAAUGAUAUUAAGUUUGAAGUAAAAGAAUGAUAUUAGGUUUGGCUUCAUGUGGCUUGUUUAGUUAAGGUAUGUGUGGGUCUGUUGGGGUGCGUCAAGGGGAGGUGUGUCUGGGUUAAGAUGAGUGAACUGUGGCCUCCCAGAUGUUUUUCAAGAUUAAAGAUGUGUUUUUUUUUUAGUGUUCUAAGUUUAUUUUGCUAAGUUACGUCUUAUUUUGUGGAUCUUAGGCUUAGUUUGGGUUAAGUUAGAGAUGUGUGUUUCUAAGGUAUUCAAAGUUCAUUUUUUGUAAAGUUAUUUUGGCUUAGUUUAGUUUGGAUUAAGUUGGAGAUGUGUGUUUCUAGGGGUAUUCAAAGUUCAUUUCGUAAAGUUGCGUCUCGUUUUGUUGGUCUUGUGGGGUUAAUUUAGUUUAAAGUAAAGUCCACAUUUCUAAAACAUUUGUAAGUGAAGCCAAACUGUCAAUUCUGGUCUUGUUCUGUCAGUCUAAGGAAGCUGGAUGAGAUAGGAUGAAGCCAAAUUGUUAGUGAAUACAUUUUAACCCACUGUACCCCUGGACCACAGAGAACCACACAUUUGUACGCCACUCAGCCAGACCAACUUGUUGCCGGCAGCCCACCCUUGAUUUUCAUGUGUUAUGUGUUUCUUUCCGUGUGUCUGUCCCUGGUGGUGGUGGUGGUGGUGGUUCUGCUCAUGGUUCUGUCCUGUGUGCAAACUUUCACUCUGAACUGGAGACAGAAUUUGAAGUCAUUUUACCACAGUGGAAGGCAGAACAAGGCUAAUACAGUGAAAGAAAGAAACAUCUCGAAAAGUUCCCAUCAACUCUAGUGACACAAACUCUGCCACUCUUUCACUCUGAACUGGAGACAGAAUUUGAAGUCAUUUUACCACAGUGGAAGGCAAAACAAGGCUAAUACAGUGAAAGAGAAAGAAAGAAACAUCUCGAAAAGUUCCCAUCAACUCUAGCGACACAAACGCUGCCACUCUUUCACUCUAAGCUUGAGUUGACAGAAUCUAAAGUUUUGCCCCAGUGGAAGAUGAAAUAAGACUAACACAGUGAAAGAAGUUAGAAACAUCCUCUCCAAUGACACAGCCUGGCACCACCUUUCACUUCUCUACCCACAAGCCCCUACCACUCUCACUCUAAGCUGGAGACAAAAUCUGAAGUCAUCCUACCACAGUGGAAGACAAAACGAGGGUGAUACAGUGAAAGAAGAUAGAAACGUCCUCUCCAAUGACACAACCUGGCACCAUCAUUCACUUCUCUACCCACAAACCCUGGCACUCUUUCACCCUAAGCUGGAGUUGGCACCUUCCCGUCCUGUGUUGUACCACCACCAACACCCCACCAGCCUCCUCAGUGCAUUGUUUACACUUGUGUCCAAUACUUGGUGACAAAUUAGCGUUAUUCUCGUCGUUAUAGCAAACCAGCGAAAAACUAUCCAUUAUUUAUCAUUGUAACUGCAUCUUACUUCAUGUUUUCCCUUGAAUGCUGAGGUUAUAUGUUUGUUAGAGUAUAAAACAGACCAAAUAGACACAAAGCAAGCCAGGAACAUAACAAGUAGUAGUAGUAGCAAAUAUUUGAAAAAAGACCCAAACUAGGAAAAGACAGGAAAACAAUAUUAAUGAGUAGUAGAGGUGAAUAUUUCAAACCAGACACAAACAGAUGGAUACAAUAAUAGUGAGGUUUAGAAGUUAGCGAGUGUGUGACAAAAUACCCAAAACAACGCUUGGGAAGACAGAAAAACAAUAAGAAAUAAAAGUAGCGAGCAUUUCAAACUAGACACAAACAAACAAACAAAUAAAAAACAGCACCAAUAAGCAUUAAGAGUCAGCAGAAAUAUAAAAAGACACAAAAUGAAGUUAGAAAAGAACAGGAAACAGCCAUAACAAGUAGUGGUAGCAGUUAGCAAGGACACAGGCAGGAAAUACGAGACUUUGAGACAGACACAAGCAACGUAACACAGGGAACAAUAAUACAAAGUUGAAAUGAACCCAAAACAAAGGCAGGGAAGAUUAAAACAAACAUAAUAAGUAGCAGUAGUAGUUAAUGAGGACUCAGGCAUGUAAUUUGAGAUGUGAGGAACCGAACAGAAAACAAGAAGAAGUUUUACCGAGUGUAUUAUUAAGGCACGUUUCCCCGCACAAAUAAAGACACAAAACGAUAAAAACAACAAUUACAACAAGAAGUAUUAGUAGCGGGUGUAUCAAACAGACCAAAACAAACACAAAAACACAGGAAUCAACAGAUAAGACACAUUUUCCCACACAAACAGACACAAAACAAUAAAAACAAGAUGUAGGAGUUAGCCAAUGUAUCAAACGGACACAAACACACCUAGAAGACAAACAAAACCAUAACAAACAGCAACAGUUCGCUGACACACACUCCAUGCAUCACCGAAUGUGUCCGAACCUGAGAGAACCACAAUAUGCAGGAGUUAGCUAGAAAAUGGGGCCUCACACACACACACACACACACACACACACACACACAAGCAUAGACAGAGCUUCCAAUGCCUUACCAGUGCCCAGAAACCAGUAAUCAUCGCACACCCAGCAGAGCAUUGAAGCAGUAGUGGGUGCCAUGUUGUCUCUGUAACAAAGGGACACUGGGUUACAUACAAGCCACAAAGUGUAGAAAUAGGCACUUAAGCCAGAUAGAUUAGAGAAAACUUAAGCAGGGCUGUAACAAGGGACUUAACAACCCUUAACUAGCAAGACGAGAGAGCCAUAGACUAGACACAGUUGAGCAUACAAGCAAACAAAGCCACACAGCAAAAAAAGACAGAAUUUAAGCCAUCAACAGCCAUUAGAGAACCAAACACAGCAUAGAGAUAAUAAACCAAGACAGCAUGAAUUUAAAUGAGCCACAGAAACUUAGACAACGUAGGAUUAAAUGAAAGAUCAAGCCAGUAACAUGCAUAGAUUACACACAGGAAGACACACACAGCAUAGAGAGAGAGAGCCUUCAGCCACAGCAUAGAAUUAGCAGCCAGGACACACACAGCAUUGAAAGAGAUAAUUUUGACACACACAGCAUUGAAAAACUGAUAAAUUAGACACACAGCAUUGACACAGAUAAUUUUGACACACACAGCAUUGAAAGAGAGAGAAUUUCGACACACACAGCAUUGAAAGAGAUAGACUUUAGACACAGCACUAAAAGAGACAUAAUUUAAGGACACAGCAUUGAGAGAGACAGAAUCAAGCCACAAACAGACAUACAGACAGAUUCAAUUAGCCAUUAUAGAAAUAGCAAACAGACUGAAUGAAAACAGACAAGAUUAACCCAUAGACAGACAGACAGACAGACAGACAGACAGACAGUGCUAAGAGAGAUGAGUAAAAAAAGACAGACAGAUAGACAGACACCAGAAACAGCCAACCAUACACACACACACACACACACACACACACACAAUAUAUAACCUAAUGUUGCUAUAAUAUUUCUAGACAUAAAAAGAAAAGAAGAAGAAGAAGAACCAUUUGAUAAACAGCGUACACAGGGACAAGAUAGAAUAAUUAGCUAGGGAUUUCCAGAGAAGCAUAAUAGAGACAUAACAAGCUCAAGCACCACAGCAGUUAGUGGCCAUGUCUUAGAGAGCACCUGUCGAGCCAUUAAGCCGUUAGAUCGUUAGUAGGGAGAACACAUUAACAACAUCAGCUAGAUCGAUAAUUUCUUGAGAUUCUGUAAUGGUUUGUAAAGAUGAUUUCAAGUUGUGCCAUAGUGAGGUUUUUUGGUGUGGCUGGGGAAGACUGGCCUGGUGAGGUUGGGUUAGUAAGGCUGGGUUGGUGAGGUUGGGUCAGUAAGGUUGGGUUGGUGAGGUUCGGUCAGUAAGGUUGGGUCAGUGAGGUUGGGUUGGUGAGGUUGGGUCAGUGAGGUUAGGUUAGGUUGGGUCAGUGAGGUUAGGUUAGGUUGGGUCAGUGAGGUUGGGUUGGUGAGGUUGUGUUGGUGAGGUUGGGUUGGGUUGGGUUAGGUUGUGUUGGGUUGGGUUAGGUUGGGUUGCAAUGGGUUAGUUUGUGUUGUGUUGUGUUGUGUUGUGUUGGUGAGGUUUGGUUUAGCUUGGGUUUGGUUUGGCUUGGUUUGGUUUGGUUUGGUUUGGUUUGGGUUGAGUUGGGUUGGUUAGGUCUAAAUUAACUUAACCUAAUAUGGACCUUAACCUAACAAAACUAAUUUACUCAAACUUGACCAAUCAUAAACC